CUCACUCUCUCUCCUCUACUUAUUGGCUCUAGAUGGAGGUGGUGAAGAUUAUGUUCCCCCAACAUUUCUUAAAUCUCUAAAUCCUUACAAUUCCAAGAAAGGAAUUACAAACCCAAUUCAUCUUCUCUCUCUCUCUCUUCACAAACCAGCCGAAACACCCCCCAUAUCACAAUAAUUUUGAAAAUCCUAACUUGUUCAUGGAGAUUCAAGCUCAUUCCAAGGUGAUUUCAAGGCCAUUUGAAGGUUUGAAGGUGAUUCCAAGGAGUUUCAAGCAAGAACCAAGCUUCAUAUCAUCUUUUUAAUCAAAACCCAUUUGAAUCUUGAGGAGAAUAAAAAUGAGUGUGUAUAUGCAAGUACUUGAGUUCGGCUUCAGGAAUUAUGGCGUAUCUUGUGGUUGUUGAUGCAUGUUUUGGUCACUUAAAUAUGUUGGACUAAUUUUAAAAACUUGUUGGGACAAAUGUAAUAAGAUCCAUAAGGAUCAAAGACAAAUUAACUAUGUCGUGGUUGUGUCAUGUUAUGGGACGUCAUGCUUAAAAACUUAUGUUUUAAUUAAGUUAAUAUGUCCAA
rnacentral:lncRNA from 1 species